rnacentral:rRNA from 1 species
UUAAAUUGAAGAGUUUGAUCAUGGCUCAGAUUGAACGCUGGCGGCAGGCCUAACACAUGCAAGUCGAACGGUAACAGGAAGCAGCUUGCUGCUUCGCUGACGAGUGGCGGACGGGUGAGUAAUGUCUGGGAAACUGCCUGAUGGAGGGGGAUAACUACUGGAAACGGUGGCUAAUACCGCAUAACGUCGCAAGACCAAAGAGGGGGACCUUCGGGCCUCUUGCCAUCAGAUGUGCCCAGAUGGGAUUAGCUAGUUGGUGAGGUAACGGCUCACCAAGGCGACGAUCCCUAGCUGGUCUGAGAGGAUGACCAGCCACACUGGAACUGAGACACGGUCCAGACUCCUACGGGAGGCAGCAGUGGGGAAUAUUGCACAAUGGGCGCAAGCCUGAUGCAGCCAUGCCGCGUGUAUGAAGAAGGCCUUCGGGUUGUAAAGUACUUUCAGCGGGGAGGAAGGUGUUGUGGUUAAUAACCACAGCAAUUGACGUUACCCGCAGAAGAAGCACCGGCUAACUCCGUGCCAGCAGCCGCGGUAAUACGGAGGGUGCAAGCGUUAAUCGGAAUUACUGGGCGUAAAGCGCACGCAGGCGGUCUGUCAAGUCGGAUGUGAAAUCCCCGGGCUCAACCUGGGAACUGCAUUCGAAACUGGCAGGCUUGAGUCUUGUAGAGGGGGGUAGAAUUCCAGGUGUAGCGGUGAAAUGCGUAGAGAUCUGGAGGAAUACCGGUGGCGAAGGCGGCCCCCUGGACAAAGACUGACGCUCAGGUGCGAAAGCGUGGGGAGCAAACAGGAUUAGAUACCCUGGUAGUCCACGCCGUAAACGAUGUCUACUUGGAGGUUGUGCCCUUGAGGCGUGGCUUCCGGAGCUAACGCGUUAAGUAGACCGCCUGGGGAGUACGGCCGCAAGGUUAAAACUCAAAUGAAUUGACGGGGGCCCGCACAAGCGGUGGAGCAUGUGGUUUAAUUCGAUGCAACGCGAAGAACCUUACCUGGUCUUGACAUCCACAGAACUUUCCAGAGAUGGAUUGGUGCCUUCGGGAACUGUGAGACAGGUGCUGCAUGGCUGUCGUCAGCUCGUGUUGUGAAAUGUUGGGUUAAGUCCCGCAACGAGCGCAACCCUUAUCCUUUGUUGCCAGCGAUUAGGUCGGGAACUCAAAGGAGACUGCCAGUGAUAAACUGGAGGAAGGUGGGGAUGACGUCAAGUCAUCAUGGCCCUUACGACCAGGGCUACACACGUGCUACAAUGGCGCAUACAAAGAGAAGCGACCUCGCGAGAGCAAGCGGACCUCAUAAAGUGCGUCGUAGUCCGGAUUGGAGUCUGCAACUCGACUCCAUGAAGUCGGAAUCGCUAGUAAUCGUGGAUCAGAAUGCCACGGUGAAUACGUUCCCGGGCCUUGUACACACCGCCCGUCACACCAUGGGAGUGGGUUGCAAAAGAAGUAGGUAGCUUAACCUUCGGGAGGGCGCUUACCACUUUGUGAUUCAUGACUGGGGUGAAGUCGUAACAAGGUAACCGUAGGGGAACCUGCGGUUGGAUCACCUCCUUACCUUAAAGAA